rnacentral:misc_RNA from 1 species
GAAAUGCGAUAAGUAGUGUGAAUUGCAGAAUUCAGUGAAUCAUCGAAUCUUUGAACGCACAUUGCGCCCCUUGGUAUUCCAUGGGGCACGCCUGUUCGAGCGUCAUUUGUACCCUCAAGCUCUGCUUGGUGUUGGGUGUUUGUCCCCGUCUCCGCGCGUGGACUCGCCCCAAAGUGAUUGGCAGCCGGCGUACUGGUCCCGGAGCGCAGCACAUGUCGCGCAAACGAGUGCCUUGGUACGGCGGCGUCCAUAAGCCCCUCUCUCACGCUCUUGACCUCGGAUCAGGUAGGGAUACCCGCUGAACUUAAGC